CGAGCCCAUCUCUCGCGACUUCAGCGGCGUCUUGCAGACUCACUCUACGCCAACCUCGGCCUUCCCCAUCUCGCCAGUACGUUUCCAGAGUCGUUUCCGAUGCCAACCCUUCUCUAUCUCUUGUGAUUUUGUUAUUUUUGGAUGAUAUUGGUAAUUUAUUUUGAUCUGUAGUGUUGGAUUUGCUUUGAAAUCUAAAGAUUUAUGUUUGAUUUGUUUCGACUCUUGUGAUCUGUAAUAUUGGAUUUGUUUUGUUUUGGUUAUUGAGAUUUGAAGAACCAAUGGAUUGAAAUGAAUCAAACCAAUUAUUUCGGUUUAAUUCAAUUCAUUUAGUUCUUUACUUUGGUUCGAUUUUAUUUUUCAAAAGAAGAUACUUCGGAAUUUUGGUUUGUUCGGUUCCUUUUU
rnacentral:misc_RNA from 1 species